CCUGGUGGGCUCUGGUCCAUAGGAUUGCAAAUAGUCAGACACGACUAAAGCAACUUAGCAUGCAUAAGAUCCUAGAACAUGUGCUUUGUGGGUUUUAUUUUAAAAUUUACAUGUCUAUUCAAUUUUAAAAACUUGAAAAACAUAAAGAACACAGAAAACAACAGCUCUUUCAACAAAAAGAUCACCAGUGUUAACAUUUUGGUUCAUCUUUUUCUUUUUCCUUGCCAGUGUAUAUACAUCUUUGUUCUGUCUGUUCAAAAUAGGAUACUGUUCUAUAGUCUGCUUUUUUUAAAAACCUAGCAAUAGACUGUGAACUUUUCUCUAUGGAUGAGUUGUUUCUUAAAAUAGAUAUUUCAGUGGAAGCAGUCAUACCCUGGGACAGCAAAUUCAUUGCUUUUUUUUUUUUUUAAGAGAGGGAUGCCUCAUGGCUGCCAAAUUUGAGAGACACUGCAUCUUACAUUUCCUUCUUGGAAAAUUAACAGUGCAUAUUAGCAUGUUAAAGGCUCUGGGAAGCCCUUCCACAAAGAACCUGCUUGACUUUGAUUAGAUCAGUGUUUCCCAAACUAAUUUAACGCGGUGGAGUCAUUUAUUCUCAUAACUCCUAUUAAUGUCUCAGGAAUAACUGGGGAAGACAAAGCCGCAGGCUCAAGAUUCCUUGAGAACAGGGAGCAGGUCUUGCUCAUCUUCAUUGUUUCCACACGGCCUUACAAUUGUUUUUAAGAAAUUAUACAAAAUGAGAUUGGAUUGAUGACUACUUUCUAACCGACAGCCACACACGUGCGAACUGGGGGCCAAGGUUAGAGGCUGAGUCUGUGCUCCGAAGUGUUUCUCGGUGUAAAGCUAAUUGGCCCCUUUGGGGAUGAACCUGUGAACUUGGCCUUGUUAACGCCAGCACAAAACAGCUGCGUUAGUUUAUCUGGUACCCUGAAAUUGUUCUCUUACCCAGAUUCUCAUGCUGUCCUGCAGAUGGCGAUGCUGGUUUGUCAACUUUCUGAGAGCCUGAAGCUUGGGCCAAGAAAAGCUUGAAAUUGAGGGGAAGCAGAUGCAGACUAAAGAGGUAGUUCCUGCAGCUAGAAGAAGCAGAACUGGAAAUUCAACCCUGCUUCCUAGGCCUGGCGCUGUAUCUGAGUGCUUUGCUAGACUGAAAUGAGCAGGUUUCUGCCCCAGGUGACUGAUUAGCUGACCACCCCUAAUCCAUCUUUGCUGAUGGGGGCUGAGCAGAGUGUCACGAGGACACCUCCAAGGGAGCCUAGCCCUGACUUGGAGGGUAAGGGAGGACUGCAGAAUAUGCAAGUGUUAGUAAUGCAAUUGAGUGGUAAGGUUGGCUGCUCUGGACAGAGGGAACAGCACAUGCAAAGGCCUGAGAUUAGUGAGAGGCACUGGGGUGUGUUAGGGUUUUGAAAAUGGUUUAGUGUGGCUGGCUCACAGGGUACAGGGGGUGUGAUGAGGGGAGAGAGAAUGAAGAAGAGGCUGGAGAAGUAUGAAGGGCCCUGUAAGUUGUGUUCAUGAGCUUACACUCCAUCUGGAGCAUGGCAGGGAAUCUACGAAGGGUUUGAAGGAAGGUGGUGCAACGAAGAGGUCUGCAGUUUAGAAAGAGCACCAUUGCUGG